GGAGAGGGGAGCACGGAGGGAACGGGGGCUUCCCCCCCCCCCCCGGCUGCGGCCAGCGGAGAGGGGCGGGAGGGGUUGUCAGAGCCCACGUAUCCCUCCGCCUCUGCCACACGCACGCACGUGACGGGGCCCCCUCCCCAGCUGCCCGCGGCGGGUGGGCGCCGCCGCCCCUCAGGGCGCUGCCCCGCCGCCCGCUCUUCCUCGCGGUGGGGUCGGCGGUGGCGCUCCCCUCAGGGCCGUGGGGCUCCCGCCGUGGGUGAGGAGAAAGGCGGGGGGGGGGGGCUCCCAGGCGCUGCCCCCGCCGCCCGGCCGCGGCCCUUGGUGGGUGGUGGAGGCCGGGAGCCGGCGGGCCCCGCGGUCUGCCCCGGCACCUGCCGUCGUGCCUGGUCGUGGUACGGAGCAGCUCUCUUUCUCGGCGUGGACCCGGCCACAGGGAGCAGAGGGACACGCAGCCUGUGGCAGGCACGGCCCCCGGCUCGGGGCAGCCCCGGGGGGCUCAGCCGGCGCUGGGGUCGGGCUUGCUGCCCACUGCCCACGGCUCACCCAGAGAUCGCAGACCCACAUGGGCUUUGCUACCUACUGCCGUGCCCAAAGCAUACUGCUGGAUUUCUUGGCUGACUCUCUGCCUGGACUUCACUCAAAGAGGAAAGGAACAUCCUGUUUUCAUCAUCCAAGAGGACCAGUGGGCAGAGACGUAAAUAGAUUGAUCAAUCCAGAUGCAACGCAAUGGUGAAAAUAGGGCAAUAAAGUUAAGACUACUGAAACGUGA